UACGAAGGGGGGCUAGCGUUGCUCGGAAUCACUGGGCGUAAAGGGUGCGUAGGCGGGUCUUUAAGUCAGGGGUGAAAUCCUGGAGCUCAACUCCAGAACUGCCUUUGAUACUGAGGAUCUUGAGUUCGGGAGAGGUGAGUGGAACUGCGAGUGUAGAGGUGAAAUUCGUAGAUAUUCGCAAGAACACCAGUGGCGAAGGCGGCUUACUGGUCCGGAUCUGACGCUGAGGCGCGAAAGCGUGGGGGAGCAAACAGG
rnacentral:rRNA from 1 species